AGUCACAGCUGUGCCCAUCCCUGCCCCAGUGAAAGCUAUGGAUUUAAUCCCCAAGCGUACUCAAUGAAUCAAAUGCAGGUAUGGAUUGUGGAUCCCAGUAAGCCCGUCCAUGUACUCCAGCAUCUGUGGAAGACCUACUACGUGUAAGAUGCUGUGCUAGAAGCUUCAGAAGAGAUUUUUUUCAACGGCCACUACCUUGGAGAUGCUCCCAGUUUAGUGGGGGAGGGCAGUGUUCUCAGACAUCCGUCCUUGAAAAUGGAUAUUUGGGGCAUGAGGAGCAGAUUGAGGUGAAGAAAUGCAGAGCUAGGAUGGCGGAGGGAAGAAGAGGGAGACUGAGAGCCCAGGGGAUUCGGAAAUCCGGAGGACUGUGCUGGACUUUCUAACAGGAGAGAGCCACUCAGGAAGACUGGAUGACUGGGGCAUACUUCGAUGAUGGAAGAAAUGAUGGUGAUGAAAACCCUCAAGGAAAUAAUUCACCUCCAGUAACAUCAGAGCUGUCCUUUAGGUUCUGAAGUUAGCACAGGCCCUUAUGAGUGGAGGGGCAGCUGUUCAUUAUCCUUACCUACUCCGCUUCACCCCAAGGUGGUCCCCUGUCUCACUGGUGUCAAUCAACAGCAAAGAUCCUGUCCUCUAACUACCUGCAAAAACACUACUUAAGGUGUCGCCCCCUCUUCAUGGGAGUAGACAUAUUCUCCUUCUCUCUCUUCCUCUCUCCCCACUCUCCAUCUUGUGAUUGAUUCAUCUGACACCUCUGAGAUGAUCUUUCACUCACAAAUACAGAUGUUCUUUAAACUUCUAAUUUUUCCCCUUCAUUUGGAUCCCUUGCUUAGUUGCUUCAAGAAAUGUCUCCCCCCUUUUGUCUUCCUGGCCUCUCAACUUCUUCUUUUCCUCCCUGCCUCACCCUGUUUCUCUUGCUCCCUUUCUCAAUCAGAAGGGAAAAGCAAAAACCAACUUUAAUUACGGGGGAUAAGUAGAAGUAGUGCCAGCUAUAUACCUGUAUCAAGCAAAAGUCAAGGCAUAAGCUUUGAAGUGAAAUGAGGUGCAUUCAGCAGCCUGAACCAUCAGCCUCAACAGCUCUUGACAUAACCUAAAGCCUCCUUCAAGAGCACUGCACCGUCUCCACUACCUCCUCAUUCCUGUCCAGUUAAUCUUACUUUCCUCAAGAAUGAACUUCCGUGUGUGUGUAUGUAUGUGAGAGAGACAGAGAGAGAAAGAGUGUGUGUGAAAGAGAAAGAGACAGACAGGGAGAGGGAGAGAAACAUUUUUAUUGUUCUACUGUUUGGUUUAAUUAUGGGUAUUGAACUGUUGUUUUCUACAAAGUUUCCUUGCAACUCCAUAAUACCAGUAGCACAUUUUGAGUUAGAUGUGCAUUUGUGGGCUAGGCUAGAGCACUAUUUAUAACAUCGUUUCUAUGGGAAAGUUUAUUCCAGGUCCCAAGCAACUAACUUAAAAAUGAACUUUUUGAUUACAACUUGGAACAAAGCAUAUACAUUGGAAAGUGCUUGCUCAUGAAUAUGUAGGCUAGGUUUGUGGGGUAAGUUGGUAUACGGUUCAGCUAGCACACUGGCAUUUUCUCUACGUUCUCCUACCUGUUCUCAGCAAACAAAUGGCAAUUGGUCAUGCUCUGGGCAAUUUACUGAUGCAGAACCACUGGUGACAAGGUAGAUGGACCCCUACUUUACUUAAGGGGCUCACAUUCAAGUGCAUAGUCCUAGGAUCCUGUGAAAGGUGAGUUCCACGGAAAUGGUUAUUCUUAUAGAAAUACAAUCUACAGAAGGGCUCUGAAGUCAAUUUCUUUUCUGGUAGGCCUUGGGAGGAAGCGUCUUAUAAUAGCCAACACCCAAGUGCUCUUUUGCGAGCUUAUAUGGGUAAUCUUAAACUAGUCAAUUUAACUUUUCAGACUCUUCACAAGGAGGUUUAUCAUGAGAAAAAAGAAAGCAGACUUUUACUGGGAAAGUGUAAUAAGCAUGAUAUGCAUACACACACACCUUUCAUUUUACAAUCCUUGUGAUUUAUUGGUUGUACUAAAGUUGGUCAAUGGAGGAUAUUUUCCUGAGCUAACAGGAGUUUGUGCCACAUGGAUUGGAGACUUUAAUCUUCCAAGCAUUUACCUCCAGUGAUGAUCAUCUGGGGAAAAAAGAAGUUGCCAGGGCAAUGCUGUCCCAGCCCCCAGCUCCCAGAAUGAGUCCCCUGUGGAGAGCCAUUUACACUUAGGAAGAAAUGUGAUCACCUCAUGCUUACUGUGGUGUUUGGGGUGAUUUGAAUUGCAAUGUGGUGUAUCCAAUCCAUAGAGUAAAGAAAACUGAACCAGUAUCAUUAAAGCUUGAAGUGUUGAAAUAAGUGGCCUGGGACUGGCUUCCACGGUGAUAAAAGAUUCAUCUGGUAGCACCAGAGUAAAAGAAGUCUCACUAAACACUGGCCGGGCAGCUGCUGCUCGGUGUGAGCAUCCCGGGGAUGCAAGCGUGGGGGAGGUAUGUAUAUAUUUUUU
rnacentral:lncRNA from 1 species